CGCAACUCCUGACAGCAAUGGAAAUCCUUUACAUAAAAAAACCUGUUUCGUGUUGAAACAGGUUUUUUUUAUGUAAAGAUUGUAAUGGAUGGCAGGAAAAUGG
rnacentral:sRNA from 1 species